GGUUUUUAAUAGGAAGUCUUCUCUCCCUAGACCGGGUCCCACAACCAGGCUGUGGAGUCUUGGGAGCCAUUUGUCUAUCUCCUCCACAGCGUUGGGACUGUCCCUUUUUAAAGAAAAUAAAAAAAGGGAAGGGACAGUCUCCCGUACUCUCUGAGUACACAUCCUGAGCAUCCUCCGCAUCCUCGUCCAAGCCGUCCACGGCCUCCUCCCCGCCGGCCCCGCUGUCUAUGAACUCCUGGGGGUCCACCAGGGCGGGCCGGCUGCUGAGGAUCCUCUCCAUGGUGUCGUAGAACUUGGCGAUCCUGUGGUACUGCCUGUUGUUGCGGAGGUUGCCCUCCUUGGCCAGCAAGUAUUGCCUCUUCAGGCUCUUAACGCGCACCCUGCAUUGCUCCGGCGUCCGCUCGAAGCCCAUCGCCGCCAGCCUCCGGGACACGUCGCGGUAGACGAAGCUGUUGCGGAAGUUUCCGUCGAGCGCCUCCUGGACGUCCUGCUCCCCCCAGAUGUUCAGCAAGGUCCUCGUCUCCGCGUCCGACCACAGGAAGCCCCGCGUCGUGUUGUUGAGCAGCAUAGCCGAACUGCUGUUUGUGAUGAUGGAGGUCCUCGUCUGUUUUUUUUUUUUUUUUUUUAAACCCCCCCCCCCCCCCCCCGGAGAGGUCGGUGUACCUAAACGACCGAUCGUCCGGAAAUGUUGUCUAUUGUUCAAAUAUGGGACGUCGAAUCUCGCUAUCCUAGCUAAACCUGGCCAUGUUUAUCCUCAGUUUUUUUUUAGGUCGCUCACAAAAAUGCCACAAACUGACAAAGGACCAGCUUUCUAAGCAAAGCCCCAUUUUGGUACAAUUUCCAAAACUGACCUCUGAUCGGUCCUCUGGAGGGGAACGGCCUACUUCCACCCGCCCCAUGGCUUUAACUUCAUGUCUGCCGGGUCCUAAAGCCCACCCUGUCACCAAACUAACAACGUAGAGUAGGGCGUCAAGCUAUUAGCAUUUAUUUUCAUUUAGAGAAUUUAACACAACACAUGCAACAUGAGAACAUAUAACAUAUAGGCUUCCACUUUACCUUCCCAGUUUAAACUGUACAGGGUGGCGACAAUGGACAAAGUGACGCUGACAAACAAAAAGGCAAACGUCUGAAUUGGCUGCUGCUGCUGAAUGUUGCCAUUCAUCUUGUUCAAACUGUCAACGAUGUAACCCACGGACACACUCUUUAUCCACAAAGCUCAGCCGCGGUGAACAACACACUUCUUACCUAAAGUGGCAGUGCGUUUCAACGCGGACAAGUGUACACAAACACGACUGAUCAUGAGGCUUUUCUUUGCCCACAGCAAUACAGGAAGAAGUAGUUCACGAUGCCUUUAAGGACGACUCGGAAUUAUCCAACUCUGCUGUAAACGUGUUGAAUUCUGUGUCAAAAAAGAUUUAAAAAAAAAUACUCCCCUUUUUUCUAUAAGGGCAACACAGGAAGAAGUAGUUCACGAUGCCUUAAAGGAUGACCCGGAAUUAUCUAACCGUGCUAAAAACGUGUUGCAUUCUGUGUCGAAAAGAUAAAAAUAAAAAAAAACCUCCCCUUUUCUAUAUUAUUUAAGUUGUUUCAGUAUAUUUUGAUGUAAAAUGGCAAUGCGCAUGGUUGAAACUAUUAGAGAAAAAAAAUAAAACAUUUAAUGAUACAUAGUACUAGAUACCAUUAAACCUAUGAAGUGUU